UACGAGGGGGGGCGAGCGUUGUUCGGAAUUAUUGGGCGUAAAGCGCGCGCAGGCGGUUCUUUAAGUCUGAUGUGAAAGCCCACGGCUCAACCGUGGAGGGUCAUUGGAAACUGGAGAACUUGAGUACAGAAGAGGAAAGCGGAAUUCCACGUGUAGCGGUGAAAUGCGUAGAGAUGUGGAGGAACACCAGUGGCGAAGGCGGCUUUCUGGUCUGUAACUGACGCUGAGGCGCGAAAGCGUGGGGAGCAAACAGG
rnacentral:rRNA from 1 species